AAUAAGUUGCAUAUUGUUGUAACGAUCCAUAAAAAUGUUUCCGUAUGGUUCAUUUUUUGGAUGCAGUUUGACAAUAUGUAAUGCACUUGUUGCCAUUGUGCUGAUACAAUUGAUCAUUGAUUUUGUUAUAAAAUUAGAGGGCAUAUCUUCGGAUGUGUAUCCUGGUUUUAUGUUAGAAAUCUUCUGGUUAAUUGUUUGUAAAGGAUUGAUUGGAAGGUGCAUAUAAUCUGCUGUCUAAGGGUUAAUGCUUGCAUUGGCUCUUUUGCGGUAUGUUAUUUUGUACUGGACUAAAAUUCUUUUAUCAGUAUAAAAGACAAUCACCUAUAUGUCCCGUCUUGAAACACGGACCAAGGAGUUUAUCGUAUGUGCGAGUCAUUGAGUGAUCAAAACUCAUUGGCGUAAUGAAAGUAAAUUAUCCUUUGUGGAUAUGAUAUAUGAUUACUUUUUCUUUUUUGAAUGAGUAAGUAGUAUAGUCCCAUCCAAUUUGUUUACAAAUGGGUGGAGAUAGAGUAUAUGCGAUGAGACCCGAAAGAUGGUGAACUAUGCCUGAGCAGGAUGAAGUCAGAGGAAACUCUGAUGGAAGUCCGAAGCGGUUCUGACGUGCAAAUCGAUCGUCUGACUUGGGUAUAGGGGCGAAAGACUAAUCGAACCAUCUAG
rnacentral:rRNA from 1 species